AGACAUUCCUGCUUUGUAUAUUUUACCAGCCACCUCGAGAAUUUCGUCCUUCAGCUCUUGAGCAGAAGGCCUGGGUACAUCGGAAGCUUCAGCUUCAGGAUCAUUGGAUCUUUUAAGAGAUAUGUUAGCUCUACCAUCUGUAAUUGCAACAAUCAUGAUACGUCCAACAUCACCACUCUUUUCUGCAUUCAUCCCAACUCUAACUGCCGUUGUAAGCCCAUGAGCAAGGGGUGAACCCCCACCACAGGGAAGUUUUUCAAGACGAUUUCUUGCCAUCGAUAUUGACCUAGAAGGUGGCAACAAAACUUCAGCAGCAUCUCCUCGGAAGGGAAUGAUACAAACCUGAUCUCUGCUUGUAUAACUCUCUGCAAGUAGCUUAAGUGCUGCUCCUUUGGCAUUCUGCAUUCUAUUCAAUGCCAUACUCCCACUAGCGUCAACUACAAAUAUCACCAGAGCUCCUGCUUUGCGUGCCAUUCUUUUGGCUCUCAUGUCAGUUUUCUCUACAUAAACCUUCCGAGAUUUUUGGACGUCCUUUGCUCUUCGUAACUUCUGAUAUGGUGCAGCAGCUCUUAGAGUUGCAUCAACUGCUAAUCUCUUCACUGGACCCUUUGGAAGCAUUGGCUUUAUAUAUCGACCUCUAUCUUCAGAGAAGAUGACAUUCUUUGCUCGUCCAGCUUUUCCUUUGCGCCUUUGUGCUUGUUGUGCAAAGAAGAGA
rnacentral:misc_RNA from 1 species